GCGGGACAAAUUGGACCGGAGAUUAAAGGACCGGAGUUUAACUCGAGGUGACUGCGUUCGUAUGCAAAUGGAAUAUAUAAAACUCUUCUUUCCGGGGUAGUCUUUAAAGACUUUUUACCUCCGGGUGGGCGGCAAAGACUAAAGUUUCCCCUCCUCCCCUUUCAUUUUCCCCCUGCCCAUAGAACAGAUGGGCAAACUAAGCUCCGGGCCAUUGGGGCUAUUAAAGAAAGCCCUAGGCUCUUGACCCCAGGUGUCUUGAAACCUUCCGUUUAAGAGGGAUCCCUUGCCCAGCCUUGUUUGCCUUCCCCUUUCCUCAGUUUCCCUAUCUGUAAAAGGGGGUUGGAAUAAGGACAGGAUCAAGUUGGAAGAUCGCAAACCCCUGCCCCUCCCACCUCAGUUUCCCGAAGCUUUCCGGAAGCAAAAUCCCGAAUUUUGCAGCGGCUCCCGGCCGAAUCCACCCGCUGCGGCCACCAGGUGGCGCGCGGCCACCGGUCACUAGGCCCGCCGGGGUGUCCGUCUUCGGCGACCCCAUCGGGAAAGGAUUUCGCUGCUGCCGCCAAGGGUCUAAGGCCUACCUGGCCCACUUGAAGACAAAGAACGAGAACGUUGGUGCUUUGCCCACUUCUGCUCUGCCGGAUUAUGCUGCAGCUUCCUCGGUGGCCGCUCAUUCGCCCUCUCCUGCCCCACCCGCCCCACCAAUCCCUUAGCCCUUUUAUUUUUUUUUUGCCUAAUUUUAAGUCCUCGUCCUGGCAUUCGCAUCCCUGCUUGGCCUGACCCUUGCCCACAUUUCGCACCAUACCCCGUCCCUCACCUGCUACGAAAGUUGCAACGCUUCUCUGCACUUGGGGGCAACUGGACCUUACCAACCCUGGUGAAACUGUAUUUCAUACGUAAUCUGGGAGACUUACAUUAACGCUCUGCCGUCUAAACCUCAUACCUGCUCUAUGAGAUAGCAACAAUAUUGUCCCUUUCCAGCACUGAUGAAGUCCACCAGAAGUGAUGGGGAUUCCAGCUCCAUUCUGUCACACACCAGAACCUUAAUCCUUGGCUCCUUCAAGCUGGAACGCGGCUGACUUCACCUGACCCACUCCCAAACUCCUAUUCAUCUUUCAAGAUCCUGUUCAAAUGUUUCUUCAGUGGCAUCUUCCUUAAUACCUUCCACCGAGGGACAACUAGAUCCCCUCUGCUAGGUAGCAGUGUUUCAGGAGCUAAACCCUGUGACUAAGAGAGGACGGCCUGCCAUUCCCUCAGCUGUGGGUUCUAAAAUACUUUAGGACCUUGCUGGGCGCCGUGGUUCAUGCCUGUAAUCCCCACACUUUGGGAGACUGAGGCGGGCGGAUCACCUGAAGUCAGGAGUUCGAGACCAGCCUGACCAAUAUGGAGAAAACCCGUCUCUACUAAAAAUACAAAAUUAGCCAGGCGUGGUGGCGCAUGCCAGUAAUCCCAGCUACUCAGGAGGCUGGGGCAGGAGAAUCGUUUGAACCCAGGAGGCGGAGACUGCGGUAAGCCGAGAUGGCGCAAUUGCACUCCAGCCUGGGCAACAAGAGCAAAACUCCGUCUCAAAAAAAAAAAGAAAGAAAAAAAAAGUCAGGACCAUCUGGCCUUUCUCAGGAAUCUACCUUUUUGUCACAGGUUCUGGUGGUAGUGAGUUCUCUGUCCCUGGAGAUGCCAUCAGAGCCUAAGUGGCACUGCAGAAACGUGCAGCCCUGGAGUUUUGGUAGUUGAUGAAGAUUCUAAGUCAACCCUCUUUAGAUGGGCAGAAGAGUUCAGCCAAAUGCUCAGCCCCUGGAAACAACUCCUCCAGUCCUUCAGACUACAGCUCUGUUGUCCCUUCCUUCCAUAAACCUUCCCACACCUCCCUGACUAGUCACAUCCCUUUAUUCUCACUCAUAACCCCAACUGCUGAGUACAGAUCUGGCACAUAGUAGGCUCUCAAUAAUUGCUGACUGGGUGAAAGAAUGGAUAAAAACAGCUAACCUUAGGUGAGUGACUUCUGAGCCUCUAUUUCCUGUCUUCUAAGGGGAUGGGUAAUAAUGAUAGUUGCUACCUAGCAGGAAUGCUAUGAGAAUUAAACGAUGCUUGCAAAGCAA
rnacentral:lncRNA from 1 species